UGGGGGCCUUAGGAUUUAGUCCGUAUGGGUCAAAAGGGAGGCUAUGAUUGCCAAGCAUACAGUUGGAUUAUCCAAUCUAAUUGCUUGUGUAGUAGGGUGAUGAGAGUUCAAUAUGAGGCAUGGAGUCAGGGGUCCUAGAUCUGGAUUGUUUGCAACUGCUCUAUCUGGAAGGAGAUUUAUGCCCAUGCCCUCAUAAUGCUGGUCUAGGUC
rnacentral:lncRNA from 1 species